ACACUUGUAGUUUAGAGGAUAGAACGUCUAUUUCCUAAUUAGAAAUUUUAGGUUUGACCCCUAGCUAGAGCG
rfam:Ipomoea nil DNA, scaffold: scaffold2280, cultivar: Tokyo-kokei standard.